rnacentral:rRNA from 1 species
GAUCUCUCGAUCUACUUGGAUAACUGUGGUAAUUCUAGAGCUAAUACACGCACCAAAGCUCCAACCCUUCGGGGGACGAGCGCAUUUAUUAGAACAAAACCAAUCGGGCUUCGGCUCGUGCGGUUGGUGACUCUGAAUAACUACUGCAGAUCGCACGGUCUCGUACCGGCGACGCAUCUUUCAAGUGUCUGCCUUAUCAACUGUCGAUGGUAGUUUAUGUGCCUACCAUGGUUGUAACGGGUAACGGAGAAUAAGGGUUCGACUCCGGAGAGGGAGCCCGAGAAACGGCUACCACAUCCAAGGAAGGCAGCAGGCGCGCAAAUUACCCACUCUCGGCACGAGGAGGUAGUGACGAAAAAUAACGAGGCGGGCCUCUAUGAGGCUUGCUAUCGGAAUGAGAACAAUUUAAAUCCUUUAACGAGGAUCUAGCGGAGGGCAAGUCUGGUGCCAGCAGCCGCGGUAAUUCCAGCUCCGCAGGUGUAUAUCUAUGCUGCUGCGGUUAAAAAGCUCGUAGUUGGAUCUGCGUGCUCGGACCCGGUCGGCUCACUGAGUCGCACUGG